rnacentral:rRNA from 1 species
UACGUAGGGGGCAAGCGUUGUCCGGAAUCAUUGGGCGUAAAGAGCGUGUAGGCGGCCCGAUAAGUCCGCCGUGAAAGCCCAGGGCUCAACCCUGGGAUGCCGGUGGAUACUGUCGGGCUAGAGUUCGGAAGAGGCAAGUGGAAUUCCUGGUGUAGCGGUGAAAUGCGCAGAUAUCGGGAGGAACACCUAUGGCGAAGGCAGCUUGCUGGGACGACACUGACGCUGAGACGCGAAAGCGUGGGGAGCAAACAGG